GAAUCCAGCAUAUCUGUGGAUUUCAUAUCAUUCGCUGAUAUUAAUUUCAUGCACCUGCGUAUCUUUAUUCUGCAGCAUAUCCCCGAAAAUUGUCCUACUCUGCACACUUGCUUUGUUUUGAGAGAAUUUCACUACACACUUCACAAUAUAAGGAGGGCUAUCCCUCACACAUUUCUCAUGCAUUUCUCCAAAAACACAACCAUUCUCAGGACAAAUGAAGGGGCUCAAAUUGGCGGUCUAUUUCUCGGUUGUAGUAGCAAUGCUGUUGCUGUCGCCGGCAGUAGCACACUCGGCCGCCCCGCCAGCGCGCAAGCCGCUGCCAUACAUUGAGUACUCUAAGAAUGGAUUGGCAGUAGCUUGCCCCGCGCCCUGCGACAAGAAGUGCUGCGCCUGCAUCUACUACCGUACCCGGCCGAAAUGUAUCUUCUGCUUUGAUGAUUGCUGGCAUUUUCAAUAGAGAGGGUUAGAACUUAGAAGUGUUUGAGUUCAAUGGAUCGUCGCAGAUUAAAAUACUUACUAAUAAUAAUAAAAGAGUGAGGUGUUACUGCUGAAUUUUCUUGUUCCAAUGCUGUGUUCAUGAUUCUUGGCUUCUUUUAAAUGGAUACGUGAACUUCAAAUUUUUAAA